GUCCACAGCCACCCUGCCCUGAAUGUACCUGAUCUCAUCUCAUCUAAGAAGCUAAGUAGGGUCAGUUCUGGUUACUACUUAGAUGGGAGUAGGGU
rnacentral:rRNA from 1 species